rnacentral:rRNA from 1 species
UACGUAGGGAGCAAGCGUUGUCCGGAAUCAUUGGGCGUAAAGCGCGCGUAGGCGGCCCGGUAAGUCCGUUGUAAAAGUCAAAGGCUCAACCUUUGAAAGCCGAUGGAUACUGCCGGGCUAGAGUCCGGAAGAGGCGAGUAGAAUUCCUGGUGUAGCGGUGAAAUGCGCAGAUAUCAGGAGGAACACCGAUGGCGAAGGCAGGUCUCUGGGCAUUAACUGACGCUGAGGAGCGAAAGCAUGGGGAGCGAACAGG